rnacentral:rRNA from 1 species
AUCCGGGUUGCGGACAGUGUCUGGUGGGUAGUUUGACUGGGGCGGUCUCCUCCUAAAGAGUAACGGAGGAGCACGAAGGUUGGCUAAUCCUGGUCGGACAUCAGGAGGUUAGUGCAAUGGCAUAAGCCAGCUUGACUGCGAGCGUGACGGCGCGAGCAGGUGCGAAAGCAGGUCAUAGUGAUCCGGUGGUUCUGAAUGGAAGGGCCAUCGCUCAACGGAUAAAAGGUACUCCGGGGAUAACAGGCUGAUACCGCCCAAGAGUUCAUAUCGACGGCGGUGUUUGGCACCUCGAUGUCGGCUCAUCACAUCCUGGGGCUGAAGUAGGUCCCAAGGGUAUGGCUGUUCGCCAUUUAAAGUGGUACGCGAGCUGGGUUUAGAACGUCGUGAGACAGUUCGGUCCCUAUCUGCCGUGGGCGCUGGAGAACUGAGGGGGGCUGCUCCUAGUACGAGAGGACCGGAGUGGACGCAUCACUGGUGUUCGGGUUGUCAUGCCAAUGGCACUGCCCGGUAGCUAAAUGCGGAAGAGAUAAGUGCUGAAAGCAUCUAAGCACGAAACUUGCCCCGAGAUGAGUUCUCCCUGACUCCUUGAGAGUCCUGAAGGAACGUUGAAGACGACGACGUUGAUAGGCCGGAUGUGUAAGCGCAGCGAUGCGUUGAGCUAACCGGUACUAAUGAACCGUGAGGCUUAACCUUACAACGCCGAAG